rnacentral:piRNA from 1 species
UUCUAAGGGCUUUGAAAAAUC